rnacentral:rRNA from 1 species
UACGUAGGGGGCAAGCGUUGUCCGGAUUUAUUGGGCGUAAAGAGCGUGUAGGCGGCCAUACAGGUCAGCUGUGAAAACUCGAGGCUCAACCUCGAGACGUCGGUUGAAACCGUAUGGCUAGAGUCCGGAAGAGGAGAGUGGAAUUCCCGGUGUAGCGGUGAAAUGCGCGGAUAUCGGGAAGAACACCCGUGGCGAAGGCGGCUCUCUGGGACGGUACUGACGCUGAGACGCGAAAGCGUGGGGAGCGAACAGG